AAGCGGUCUUGGUCUGGACGUUGGACACAAAUGAAGUACAUGAAGUUGCAAUGGCUAACUAUUAACUAAACAAAUCCCAAGGAAAAAGCUACUAGAUGGAUCUACUUAAAUAGGAGCAAGGGGUGGCGGCCAAGGAGGUGAGAGGACAUCCCAAGGCAGCCUAAAACUAACCCUAGGUCGUACAAGGCUCAUGGGCCCAAGUGGAGGUGUUGCAACACCUUUGGACUUGUAGUUUGAUUCGGAUUCUGCUACAGCGUCAGAUUGUUUCAUCGAUAACUCAACACUCCAGACGAAUUUGAAGGUGAAUCCAAUUGGGUUGGAAAUAUCAAUAAUUCUACUUUCCAACAAAAAAAGAAUCACCCAAUUCGGAGUUCGUAUGAAAGAGUUCUUAGCGUUUUGAGUCAGGUAUGUCUGUGCAUUCCGAAUCUGAAUCCAGAACGUGAGAGACUUGGACUCUAUCUUCUCUUGCCCCAAAAGUGACGUGAGAGGAACAACACCUAAACUUCUCUUUUCCCCUUAUCUUCAUAUGUGGAUUGUACAAAUGUCUCAUACACCUGCAAUUAGACAUGACACAAAAGUUUGUGAAGUAUUUUUGUCCUGGAUGACAUAAAUAAAUUAUUGCAUAGUUUGCAUUAGAAAUCACCUCACAAAUAUACAUGUACGCAAUAUUUUUGGUCAUAUCCAAGGUAGUCAUGUCCUCAUCAAACCCCAAUCAUGAUCAUUGCAAUAAGUAGUGGACAUAACAAAAUUAUCAUCCCAAGCUUGUAGCUUUGCAUAUUAUUAGCACAAUUGACAUUAAUAGAAUGUAUAGUAAAAUCAUUGCAGUCAUGCUUUUCAUUCAAGGGGCUAUCAUGAAUCACAUUAUAAUUUUUUUCAUUUAACACUUCAUCACAAUUUUCAGAUUCAUGAUUUUCAAGCAAAACUUCAUAGAGAUAAUCUAGUGCACUCAAAUCACUAACAAUUGGUACAUCAUAAUUUGGUCUUUUAAAAAGAUUAGCAUAUGGAUGAGGAUCCAUAUCAACAGAUUUUUAACAAGCGAAGGUGCAAGGAAAUAGAAGGCACAUGACAACACAAGCAAAGAUAGCAAACAAGAAAAAGGCAAACGGAAAGAAGGCAAAUAAAAAGGCAAUAUUUUUGUAUUUUUUUCUAAAAACGCUUUAGAAGUGGGGGAGAGGAAAACGAGAGGAAAAUGGCAAAUAAUGUAAAUGCAAGAUAUGAGAGUUUAUGAUAGGUACUUGGUAGGCUUGAUGUCGAUCCUCCCCGGCAACGGCGCCAGAAAUUCUUCCUCCUACUUCUCGAGCUUGCGUUGGUUUUUCCCUUGAAGAGGAAAGGGUGAUGCAGCAAAGUAGAGAUAAGUAUUUCCCUCUGUUAAGAACCAAGGUAUCAAUCUAGUAGGAGGAACAUAUAAGUCUCUAAUAGUUGUACCUGCACAAGCAAACAAAUACUUGCACCCAACACAAUAAAGGGUUGGCAAUCCCUUCACGGUUACUUGCAAGGAUGAGAUCUGAUAGUGAUAGAUAUAAAAGAUAAGUAAAAGUGCAAAAUAAAAUAAAGGUAAAUAAAUUACAGCAAGGUAUAUUUGUGUUUUUGACUUUAUAGAUCUGAAAAUAAUAUGAUAAAAGAUAGACUCGGGGGGCCAUAGUUUUCACUAGAGGCUUCUCUCUUGAAAGAAAGCAUACGGCGAGUAAACAAAUUAAUGUUGAGCAAUUGAUAGAAGAGCGCAUAGUUAUGACGAUAUCCAAGGCAAUGAUCAUGUUUAUAGGCAUCACGUUCGAGACAAGUAGACCGAGUCCUGCCUACAUCUACUACUAUUACUCCACACAUCGACGGCUAUCCAGCAUGCAUCUAGUGUAUUAAGUUAAGAAAAAUGGAGUAACGCCUUAAGCAAGAUGACAUGAUGUAGAGGGAUAGAUCCAAUCAAUAUGAACAAACCCCAUAUUUUUAUCCUUAAUGACAACAAUUCAAAUAUGUGUCAUGUCCCCUUCUGUCACUAGGAUUGAGCACCACAAGAUUGAACCCGUUACAAAGCACCUCUCCCAUUGCAAGAAAAAUCAAUCUAGUUGGCCAAACCAAAUCAAUAGAUCAGAGAGAAAUACAAAGCUAUAUAAAUCAUGCAUAAAGAGUUGAAAGAAGACUCAAAUAAUAUCCAUAGAUAAUCUGAUCAUAAACCCACAAUUCAUUGGAUCUCAACAAACACACCGCAAAAGAGGAUUACAUUGAAUAGAUCUCCAAGAACAUCAAGGAGAACAUUGUAUUGAAUAUCAAAGAGGGAGAAUAAGACAUCUGGCUACUAGCUGUGGACCCAUAGGUCUAUGGUAAACUACUCACGCUUCAUCGGAAGGGCAAUAGAAUUGAUGUAGAAGCCCUCCGUGAUUGAAUCCCCCUCCGACAGGAUGCGAGAAAAGGAUCCUAGAUGGGAUCUCAUGGGAACAUAAGGUUGCGACGGUGGAAAAGUGUUUUCGUGGAUACUUCUAGUGGUUUGGGAAUAUAUGUGAAUAUAUAGGCUGAAGAAUUAGGUCAGGGGAGUCUUCUGGUCCUCCCACGAAGCUUCUGGGGUCUCUUAUGUUCCAAGAAAAUCGUCAAAAAGUUUCGUCGUGUUUGGACUUCAUUUGAUAUGGAUUUUCUAGAAAACCAAAAACAAGCAAAAAAAACAUCAACUAGCACUGGGCACCAGGUUAAUAUGUUAGUCCAUGAAAAUCAUAUAGAAGUGCACAAAAAUCAUAUAAAAUUAUUGUAAACAUGGCAUGAAUACUUUAUAAAUUAUAGAUACGUUGGAGACGUGUCAACAUCCCCAAGCUUAAUUCCUGCUCGUCCUCGAGUAGGUUAAUGAUAAAAGAAACAAUCUGUGAAGUGUGGAUGCUAGCAUAGUGCAUAAAUUUGAUCAAUGAUAAUUCUAAUCACUUUCUCUAGCAUCAUUAACAACGACCCUUUCUCAUAAAACUCAUCAUGACAAAGUAGCAAUCAAUUCACAUGUUAUGGUUCAAACAAUCAUAUUAUUUUCAGGGAAGUCUAAGUAAGUGCUCCACAUACUCAAUUAUCAUAUAGUCUUCUAUGGUUGCUAGUCAAAGCAUAUUUUUAGAACAAACAAUAUUCAUCGAACACAGAUGAAGAUAGGGGCUUAAUGUUUUGCCUCCCAACUUACUUAUCAUAGAGAUAAUUUUCAACAAUAAUAAUUCAUGAUCAAAUAUAUUUGACUGGAUAUAUGUGCCUAGAUAUUUCCCCACCACAUGAUGCUUGCCAAGUAGAGAAUAUUUGAGGUUGGAAUGAUAAGUUGACCGAACAAAAGAAUUGUCAGAAAAUUAAAAGAUAAGCCCUUCGUAGAGGGAAGCAUGGAUUUGCAGCGGUGCUAGAGUUCAUUGCUAAAAACAAAGAUGAAAACAUUUUGAGUGGUGUGCUUUUCCUAUCAAGGUCAUGACUAAGGAUUUCAAUAUCUUCCAUGCUAAACACAUUAUCGGUGGUUCCCACAUGGAAAUGAAAAGUUUACUCCCCCUCAACCAUACAAACACACAAGCCAUGGCUAGCCAAAUUCACGGGUUCCCUCCAAACAAUCAACUUUCCAGGGGAGUUUGAUUUAUUAUAUUUUUCUUUAUUUUUGUUUAGUGGAAUUGGGCAUCCCAAUUACCAGCCUCUCUCGUGCAAUGAUAAGUGAAUAAACACCCAUCAUGAGAAUAACCCGCUUACUGUUAGUUACUUGAUCAAAGAGUUUGUAUGAUUAUUGUUAGUUUCUAAAUGAUAUAAGCAAAAACCAAAAGAGUUAGUAUUUGCCUAAGGGUUUGUAUAACAUGUUUCAAAACAAUAUAGAUGGUAAAAAUAUCAAAGAGAACAUAAUUUGGUAUCCCUAGUUAAUAAUAGAAACAUUUAUCAGACCUCCAAAGUGUGCUAAAAGCAUACGAAAGUAUGUAUGGAAAAAAUUGCCAAAGCAUUUCUAGAGCGGGGCCUAUAUUCUCAUUAGUACAGUAUAGUUUAGUCAAGUUAGGAUGAUGACAUGGGUGAUAUUGCUACAAAGAAGAACAGAUCGGAAAAGAAUCUUCUAUAUUACCAUGUAAAUACAUGUGAUGUUUUUAUUAUUUGAUCCAAAUAUUUCACAUGAUUGCUCACAAUUUCAGAAAUGCAAGGGAAAAGAUAAGAAGAUAUAUCCACCGCAUGUAUGUGUUAAUUAUUUGCAGCAGUUGAGAUGAAACAGGAAGAACAUGUAUAAAGAAAGAUGAAAGAACAUACAGAAGCAACGAACAUCUAUAGCGACCAGUUUGUAAGCUCAUAACCAAAUAAAACAACUAGACAAAUUAGAUCCAUGGUGAACAAAAACAUGUAGUCAAGAGGGAGGAGCGACUCUUGCAGUACAUCAUCCUCAUCACCGAAUUUGUGGUGGCCACGGAGGACAAUGAUUCUCACGCCACCUCCCCCUCUUCCUCUGAUUUAUUCCCUUUCCAUUGAUGCUCCUUGUUCGUACUCAUUGAGGCCGUGCCAAAGGACCCGCUGCACGAGAGGAGGGCAUCGCUAGAUGGGAGAGCAAAGGGUGAGGAGAUUGGCGGCUUGAGAAGGGGGUUUGGAAGGGAGCGUUGCUGAUAGGAGAAUCGGGGCUGAAGAGCAGCCACGUGCACCGAGGAGGCCGCCCGAGCCCAAGAACCGGGCCAAGGUCUUGCGGCCACAGGACCCCAAGGUCGAACAGAGGUGGAAGAUAGCAUGAAGAGAAAAGGUGGGGCAGGGGUUGCGACAGCGACAUGGCUGGGCCCCAAGGCCAAUAGGGAAGAGUUUGGAGAGGACGGGAGAGAGAACGUUGAUGCUUUUCUUGCGCCGCCCUAUCGCUGCAGGUGGAGAAGACGGGAGAUGGGAUUUUUUUUUUAGGGAAAAAAUG
rnacentral:rRNA from 1 species